AGAGUUUGAUCAUGGCUCAGAGCGAACGCUGGCGGCAGGCUUAACACAUGCAAGUCGAGCGGGCGUAGCAAUACGUCAGCGGCAGACGGGUGAGUAACGCGUGGGAACGUACCUUUUGGUUCGGAACAACACAGGGAAACUUGUGCUAAUACCGAAUAAGCCCUUACGGGGAAAGAUUUAUCGCCGAAAGAUCGGCCCGCGUCUGAUUAGCUAGUUGGUGAGGUAAUGGCUCACCAAGGCGACGAUCAGUAGCUGGUCUGAGAGGAUGAUCAGCCACAUUGGGACUGAGACACGGCCCAAACUCCUACGGGAGGCAGCAGUGGGGAAUAUUGGACAAUGGGGGCAACCCUGAUCCAGCCAUGCCGCGUGAGUGAUGAAGGCCCUAGGGUUGUAAAGCUCUUUUGUGCGGGAAGAUAAUGACGGUACCGCAAGAAUAAGCCCCGGCUAACUUCGUGCCAGCAGCCGCGGUAAUACGAAGGGGGCUAGCGUUGCUCGGAAUCACUGGGCGUAAAGGGUGCGUAGGCGGGUUUUUAAGUCAGGGGUGAAAUCCUGGAGCUCAACUCCAGAACUGCCUUUGAUACUGAAGAUCUUGAGUCCGGGAGAGGUGAGUGGAACUGCGAGUGUAGAGGUGAAAUUCGUAGAUAUUCGCAAGAACACCAGUGGCGAAGGCGGCUCACUGGCCCGGUACUGACGCUGAGGCACGAAAGCGUGGGGAGCAAACAGGAUUAGAUACCCUAGUAGUCC
rnacentral:rRNA from 1 species